rnacentral:rRNA from 1 species
UACGAAGGGGGCUAGCGUUGUUCGGAUUUACUGGGCGUAAAGCGCACGUAGGCGGAUCUUUAAGUCAGAGGUGAAAUCCCAAGGCUCAACCUUGGAACUGCCUUUGAUACUGGGGAUCUUGAGUCCGGGAGAGGUGAGUGGAUCUGCGAGUGUAGAGGUGAAAUUCGUAGAUAUUCGCAAGAACACCAGUGGCGAAGGCGGCUCACUGGCCCGGUACUGACGCUGAGGUGCGAAAGCCAGGGGAGCAAACGGG